rnacentral:rRNA from 1 species
GUGCCAGCAGCCGCGGUAAUACGAAGGGUGCUAGCGUUGUUCGGAAUUACUGGGCGUAAAGCGCGCGUAGGCGGCCAUUCAAGUCAGAGGUGAAAGCCCUGGGCUCAACCCAGGAAUUGCCUUUGAAACUGUAUGGCUAGAGUGUCGGAGGGGAUAGCGGAAUUCCUAAUGUAGAGGUGAAAUUCGUAGAUAUUAGGAGGAACACCGGUGGCGAAGGCGGCUAUCUGGACGACAACUGACGCUGAGGCGCGAAAGCACGGGGAUCAAACAGGAUUAGAAACCCGAGUAGUCC